GCCUACGGCCAUACCACCCUGAGAACGCCCGAUCUCGUCUGAUCCCGGAAGCUAAGCAGGGUCGGGCCCGGUUAGUACUUGGAUGGGAGACCGCCUGGGAAUACCGGGUGCUGUAGGCA
rnacentral:rRNA from 1 species